rnacentral:rRNA from 1 species
UGGGGAAUUUUGGACAAUGGGCGAAAGCCUGAUCCAGCAAUGCCGCGUGUGUGAAGAAGGCCUUCGGGUUGUAAAGCACUUUUGUCCGGAAAGAAAUCCUUGGCUCUAAUACAGUCGGGGGAUGACGGUACCGGAAGAAUAAGCACCGGCUAACUACGUGCCAGCAGCCGCGGUAAUACGUAGGGUGCAAGCGUUAAUCGGAAUUACUGGGCGUAAAGCGUGCGCAGGCGGUUUGCUAAGACCGAUGUGAAAUCCCGGCGUCAACCUGGAACUGGCAUUGGUGACUGGCAGGCUAGAGUAUGGCAGAGGGGGGUAGAAUUCCACGUGUAGCAGUGAAAUGCGUAGAGAUGUGGAGGAAUACCGAUGGCGAAGGCAGCCCCCUGGGCCAAUACUGACACUCAUGCACGAAAGCGUGGGGAGCAAACAGGAUUAGAUACCCUGGUAGUCCACGCCCUAAACGAUGUCAACUAGUUGUUGGGGAUUCAUUUCCUUAGUAACGUAGCUAACGCGUGAAGUUGACCGCCUGGGGAGUACGGUCGCAAGAUUAAAACUCAAAUGAAUUGACGGGGUCAUAGCUGUUU